UACGUAGGGUGCGAGCGUUAAUCGGAAUUACUGGGCGUAAAGCGUGCGCAGGCGGUUUUGUAAGCCAGAUGUGAAAUCCCCGGGCUUAACCUGGGAAUGGCAUUUGGGACUGCAAGGCUCGAGUGCGGCAGAGGAGACUGGAAUUCCUGGUGUAGCAGUGAAAUGCGUAGAUAUCAGGAGGAACACCGAUGGCGAAGGCAGGUCUCUGAGCUGACACUGACGCUCAUGCACGAAAGCGUGGGGAGCAAACAGG
rnacentral:rRNA from 1 species